GAUGAUCUAUAUGCAAAGGCAUCAGCUUGGUAUCAUGUGACGUAUCAUCCGGACUAUUGGGGUCAUUACCACCCCGAUCUGAAGAGGCCGCAUUUUCUGAGCUUUCCUUGGUGUGUAUAUGAUAAGCUCGUCCAGAUCAAGCAGAAUCGUAUAAUGAGAAGGAAGGUUUCUGAAGCAGCACUGCACGACAGAUUUGGGGGGCUGAGAAUCCAUUGAAGAAGACAGUACAACAAUGCAACCAGGCGGAUGAUAAGCUCGUCCAGAUCAAGCAGAAUCGUAUAAUGAGAAGGAAGGUUUCUGAAGCAGCACUGCACGACAGAUUUGGGGGGCUGAGAAUCCAUUGAAGAAGACAGUACAACAAUGCAACCAGGCGG
rnacentral:misc_RNA from 1 species